GCAAACUUGGUCAUUUAGAGGAAGUAAAAGUCGUAACAAGGUUUCCGUAGGUGAACCUGCGGAAGGAUCAUUAUCGAGUCUUUGAACGGGGUUGUCGCUGGUCAUUGUAACAGAUGACAUGUGCACGCCUAGUUUUCAUCCACUCUUUCUACCUCUGUGCACUAUAUGUAAGAAGGAAUGAAUAAAUAAAUGGUGAACAGACUGAGUCAGACUUAGGGUCGUACUUGGGCUGUGAAACUUUUUAUUCUUUCUUAUGUCUCAUUACAAACAACGUUUCAGUUAUAGAAUGUUCUUUUGUUGUGUAUAACACAAAUGUACAACUUUCAGCAACGGAUCUCUUGGCUCUCGCAUCGAUGAAGAACGCAGC
rnacentral:misc_RNA from 1 species